CUUCAGUGAUGAUACGAUGACGAGUCGGAAGGGGCUCGUUCUGUCUUUGAGGAUUCUGGGUCAGGUUCAUGUUCUGUGCGUCUGACUUCAGGUCCUCAAAGCAGUGGGUCCAAUCGCUUGAAGAAAUAUAGAGGCAUUUGUCUGAGAAGG